CUACUGUAAAAAUACCACACCGCAAUCAAAAUUAUAAAAUUGUUAACAUUAUAGUAUCACGACAUAAACUGUAUACUAGGUAUAUAGGCCCCCUGUAUAUAAUGAUAAUAAUAAUAAAUCACUGUGUAACUUACUUGAUGAAGGUAAAUCUGACAAAUUAUUAAACAAGUUUACAGUGUCUAAUUUAUUUGUGUUUUAUACAGCCAUGUGACAUAACUUGUAUUCUUGUAAUUUACAUAUUUGUUUGAGUUAAAAGUAUUUCCAUUUGUGUAUUAUACAACUAAUAAAGUUUUUAUUUAUUUUGGAAAGCCAUGAAGUACAAGGGUAGGUAUGUUUGUGUAAAUCAUUGGUGGAUAUUGGAAUACAAAUACUCGGUGUAAAGAACAAAGAAAUUUACA